rnacentral:misc_RNA from 1 species
GAUGAAGAACGUAGCGAAAUGCGAUACGUAAUGUGAAUUGCAAAUUCAGUGAAUCAUCGAGUCUUUGAACGCACAUUGCGCCCCCUGGUAUUCCGGGGGGCAUGCCUGUCCGAGCGUCAUUGCUGCCCUCAAGCACGGCUUGUGUGUUGGGCCCCGUCCUCCGAUCCCGGGGGACGGGCCCGAAAGGCAGCGGCGGCACCGCGUCCGGUCCUCGAGCGUAUGGGGCUUUGUCACCCGCUCUGUAGGCCCGGCCGGCGCUUGCCGAUCAACCCAAAUUUUUAUCCAGGCUGACCUCGGAUCAGGUAGGGAUACCCGCUGAACUUAAGCAUAUCAAUAAGCGGAGGA